rnacentral:rRNA from 1 species
CCAUGCAGUCGACGAUGAAGCUGGUGCUUGCACUGGUGGAUUAGUGGCGAACGGGUGAGUAACACGUGAGCAACCUGCCCCUGACUCUGGGAUAAGCGCUGGAAACGGCGUCUAAUACCGGAUAUGCACUGUAGCCGCAUGGUUUGCGGUGGGAAAGAUUUAUCGGUUGGGGAUGGGCUCGCGGCCUAUCAGCUUGUUGGUGAGGUAAUGGCUCACCAAGGCGUCGACGGGUAGCCGGCCUGAGAGGGUGACCGGCCACACUGGGACUGAGACACGGCCCAGACUCCUACGGGAGGCAGCAGUGGGGAAUAUUGCACAAUGGGCGCAAGCCUGAUGCAGCAACGCCGCGUGAGGGAUGACGGCCUUCGGGUUGUAAACCUCUUUUAGCAGGGAAGAAGCCUUCGGGUGACGGUACUUGCAGAAAAAGCGCCGGCUAACUACGUGCCAGCAGCCGCGGUAAUACGUAGGGCGCAAGCGUUAUCCGGAAUUAUUGGGCGUAAAGAGCUCGUAGGCGGUUUGUCGCGUCUGCUGUGAAAACUGGAGGCUCAACUUCCAGCGUGCAGUGGGUACGGGCAGACUAGAGUGCGGUAGGGGAGAUUGGAAUUCCUGGUGUAGCGGUGGAAUGCGCAGAUAUCAGGAGGAACACCGAUGGCGAAGGCAGAUCUCUGGGCCGUUACUGACGCUGAGGAGCGAAAGGGUGGGGAGCAAACAGGCUUAGAUACCCUGGUAGUCCACCCCGUAAACGUUGGGAACUAGUUGUGGGGGCCUUUCCACGGU